UUCUCUUCCCUAUCCCCGCCGCCCGGCCUCCCCUGCUCCACGGCCGUCCUCCUCAGGGCCUCUCGCGCCGCCGUCUUCUCUGCCGGGCCUCUUCUCCGACGCUCGAUGUGCAGUCGGAGCGAACUGCGUUCUCGAUCCAGCCGGCUCGGGUGUAGGUCGCCGGCAUCUGGCGCCGCGUGCCGUCAUUGAUUCUGUCUUCCUCCUCUUCUCCAUGCCGCCGCCGCCUUCUCCUCUCCUUUCCUCGAUGUCGCCAGGGCCUCGCCCUCACUGGCUGCGGUGAUGGCGGCGUGGCGGAGCUCGUGGUCGGCCGGAGUCCUCUCCCGCGUCCGUCCCGACGGGGCCGGCGACCUGCAGCCAAAGGGUGACAGCGGCUAGGAGAGAGAGAAGAUGAGAGGGAGAGAGAAGAGGAAGGGGACAAGGGAGAAAGAGAGAGGAAAGAGGAGACUAAAGCUUUUUCCCCCAAUCCCCUCACAGUCGCCCCCCGAGCUCCUCUUUCCCUCCACUCCCCCGACACCGCCACUUGUGCUCGGCAGGAGGAGUUGCUGCGGUGAUGGCAGAUGCAUGAGGAGGGGGCCGUGGUCAUGGCGGCGCGACGGAUAUCAUGUCCGGGUGGCGCGGUUGGUCGAGGCGGAGGUGCCAGCGUGCGGGGUCACGGUCUAGCUGGGCGUGAGGAGAGGGACGGGAAGAGUGGGAGGCGCAAGGACGGCGGCGCUCGCCAUCUCUUCUCGUUGCACGUCCCCGGAUGCUAGAGAUUGAGGCCUUGGCAGGAGGAGCUCGAGCCGAGGAGCGCGCCCUCGAUCCGGACUCAGCAUGAGGAGGGGAGCAGCAGCCGCGUCGGCCUCGUCGCAAUGUGUGCAGCAAGCUGAAGACGCGGAAAGAGCGGCGGUCAAGACCACGGUUGCGGCUUCAGGGGCUGCGCACACGUCGAGCAACGGCAAGCGUAUCUCAUGUCGCACACCGAGGCGAAGAAGGCCCACUGUUAGCCACUGUCCAUGGCCUUUCAUAAGAUAGGAUAUGUUGCAGAUCAUCUUCAUGAUAGAACUUUACAAUCAUGGGAUGUUCUAUAGAAAACAAACAAGUAUUAUUGGGGAUUGGACGGUGAUAUGGAAUGCAUUUGUGCUUUUGCCAACCAAACACACUCACCAUGAAAAGCUGCUUAGACGACGAGGUCAUAUUCGACACCGAUGGCACAUGCAGCAAUGACUCAACCCGAUGCCCAUGAUUGUAUAUCUUAGUCACCAUAAGCUGAAAUGUUGAAUGACCGGAGCUAUCUAAGAUGCAUCUUUGCCUAUGUAGCUUGCGCUUUUUUAAAAGCAAUGUAAAUAAACUAUCAUGAAUUGAUCUUAUAUCUUUCUUUUGGCCUAUAUAAACCUACCAUGCAAUGCAAUAUAUAACGAUAUGAAUGAACG